GACGAACGCUGGCGGCGUGCUUAACACAUGCAAGUCGAACGGAGUGGCGAACGGGUGAGUAACACGUGGGUGAUCUGCCUUGCACUUCGGGAUACGCUUGGGAAACUGGGUCUAACACCGGAUAGUGCAAGGUGUGCUCGCGGCUUAUGAGCUUGUUGGUGGGGUAAUGGCCUACCAAGGCGUCGACGGAUAGCCGGCCUGAGAGGGUGGACGGCGACAAUGGGACUGAGAGACGUCGCAGAGGCCUACGGGAGGCAGCGGGGGGGAAUAUUGCACAAUGGGCGGAAGCGUGAUGAAGCGACGCCGCGUGGGGGAUGAAGGCCUUCGGGUUGUAAACUCCUGUCGACAGGGACGCGGUACCUGUAUAAGAAGCACCGGCUAACUACGUGCCAGCAGCCGCGGUAAUUC
rnacentral:rRNA from 1 species